GUGUAUCAUUAGCCUAAACGGAAUAAACUAAGCAGGUUAUAUUAUCUUAUAUACAAUUCUAGACAGAACCACCAUGGGCAAGACAAAUGGAAAAUCCAACGUUGCACUAGACAGAACUGAUUGGUUUAUUGGGAUUGUGUGUCUGAUCAUAUUUUAUGAAGCAGGUGUUUCAGCCAUACAAAUAGACGGUCCAUUGGAGCCCCCAGACGGAGAUCCAUCAGAAUUAUGCGAGCUUGAUAGCUUAUUGCCCGUUAAUAAACCAUGUAACAUCACAGAUUUGAACCCGACAGUAUCUAUAAUCAGAGAACCAACUAUCGCUUCAAAAUGUCCAUCAACCCCGAGGACAAAAAUACCUGAAGUGUUGACGCUGUGUGAUGCUGUUAACAGGGUAGAUGUAGGAGCAGAAAAUUUCGUGGGCAACAAAGUCGGUCAUUUCAAAUUGGAGAUUCUUUUCUUGGAAAAUCGCCUAUUCGAAAUACAAUGACACCACGUGGCUCCCAGGAUACCGGAAUUUAUACAUGCAUAGCUGCUUAUGCACUUGGAAAAGUCAGCAAGGAACUUGAAAUCAACUUUGAUAUUGACACAGAGCUUCAUCAAGGUGAAGCUGACAAAACAAAUAAACAAGAAUAUAAACAGUCAACCGUAUUUAUAGUUGGGGUCUGUAGCACUGUUGCUGGCAGUUUAGUUUUGUUGACACUUAGUUUGUUUCUUCUCAAGAGAGGUUACACUUGCGUGUCGCUAGUGAGGAUUCUUCGCUCUUCUGCGAUAGUGGAGAGCAAUAAUGACAUGUAAGAUGGGAUUGAUUAAAAACCGUACAGGGAUGAAUAGUAGGAAUUUAUAAAUGACACUUCAACGAAAUCUUGUAGUGUUAAUGUUGUCGUAUUUAAUUAAAAUAAAGUCGAUAUCUGUGCGAUCUGCUUACAUUUAACGAAACACGUCAUGCAUUUGCAUAUAUAAUGUGUAUCUUCUUCAAUAAUGCACAUUGCACGCAAAAGCAGUUAAGCUUCAUUUCAAGCAUUUACUAUAUUGAAUAAGCAUAUGCCGUCAAUUUGUUAUGCAAAUAUUUCAUCUUUUUCCCCAGAAAUGCAAAUUCUGCCCAUGCAGAUAUGAAUACAGGAACCAACUACGCAUUUUUUGAAGGCCGGUUUCCAGAUGACGAAACACAUAGUUCCGGGGUUAUGAAUGUGCAUACAUCGUCAAUAGAGAUUGCGGAAAUGUCACAUGCUUUCGACAAUGAAACUUACGCCGAAAGUAUCAACAAAUUGGAGGAAGGACCGGUAAACAACCACUGGUUAGCUCAACAGAUGAUCCCAAAGAUUCCUGCGAGCUGGGAGCAACUGACGCAAAUGAUGACGACCCUCUUUACAAUGGCGUUAUAGCUGCUGAUUUUGCUUUAUCAGCAACAACAUGCACUUCAAAACCUGAACCUUCAGAAGACGCAAAAUGCAGUGUUAUCUCUAAGAUGGAACGACUAUAUGACGCCUCAAUUAACGGACAAGCUACAAGGGCAGAACCAAACGAUUGCAUUGCCAAUGUUGUCAAUUCACCAUCGAUGAAAGAUGGGGGUUUCUAAAGCGUUGUUUAGAAGAAGAAACCUACUGACGGCGCAAUAUUUGGCGUGUGUUACAUCAACAAAAGACCAUAAUUAUGAUGACAAUGAAACUCGGGUCAAAAAAACAAACGAAUUGAUGACUUUACUGAAAGCGUUGUAAAAAAGAAACGACGACCAUACGACAUCAUAGUUAGCGUUGGCAAUUCAAAGACACUCCUAGAUAAAGGCUCUGAGAAUAAUGCAGAUUAUACGAAGGAUGACCGCGCAUAUAUGAAUGGGCUGUAGAGCGGAUUAUGUCGCCGACAAAGAUAAUAUGCUGGUCCACUACAUCUACGGCGUAGUAAAUAAAAGAAGACACACUUCGAUGAACAUAACAGAAUUGUGCAUACAAAAAUAGGCGAACAUACAUGUACUACAAUUCAAUGCGCUUUUUGCUGCAAUUUAAAGGAUAAAGUGACACAUGUACUUGCUACAUACUCUAGAUUUGUCAUGUAUUAUAUGUAAGUUUCACCCUAACGAAAUAAACAAGAAUAUUUCAUUUCAAAAUU